CAAGACAUUAGAAGCUGAGGCAACUCAUGGAACUAUAACUCGGCAUUUCUGGUUUCAUCAAAACGGACAAUCAUCCAGUACAAACAGUAUUGCUUCCAUAUUUGCAUGUACACGAGGACUGAAACAUAGAGCCAAGCAGGUUAAUAAUGAAAAAUUACUGGAUUUUGCUAAGAAGUUGGAGACUGCAUGUUUGAGACAGUAGAGUCGGGAAAGAUGACCAAAGAUCUCGCCCUUCUGAUUCACGGGCCUAAGUGAAACUCCUUUAGUCUAUUAUUACUCAUUUGAAUAUUCUGGCAUUGCAAUCAUCUUAUGAACUUUGUAUUUCAAGUUUUAAUUUAAAUGUGUCAUUCUUGUGUUCUGCUUAGCCGACCCCAGGGCCUUAUUGCAGAAGAUGUAAAGUUUGUUGUAGCUGGUGCAAACCUUAUGCUUAUUACACGUGACAUUGAGAAGACAUCGAAAACUCUUGUAGCUGAGCUUAAGAAGAUGUCACAAUAGGGUUUAAGGAAAGCUUUUCAUUAUCAUGAUUUACAUCGAAAGUUAGAUGGUGCUUUUACAUUUACAAGGUUUACCGAGAAGCAUCGUCGGCUUGCUAAUGCUUUCAUUAGACAGGAUCCGUGUUUGUUGGAGAAAUCUAUGUCCAUGAUGCUAAAGGCCGUGACAGCCAGGACAUUUAUUCCUCUGUAGGUUUGGAAAUUGAACUCAUGCGACGGUAACGGCAAGUACAAAGGUAACAGCAAGGUGACAUGGUGACAUCAUCCAUGUUAUUGACAUUGGUACAAAACAGGUCGUUUUAUUGGGAGGAGCUGCAUGUUUGUCAGGUUUAGCAGGUGACACUAUCUGGGCUGCUGAAUUUUGUUGAUGGGCUAUGGUCAAUUUGUGGAGAUGAGAGGGUUAGUGUUCACAAUAAACCAUAAAGAAAUGCUUGAUUCAGCAUUGUUGCGUCCGGGUCGAAUGGAUGUUUAUACGCACAUGUCCUAUUGUACUCCCUAUGGUUUUAGAAUGUGCCACUUAUUCAACAGGUUGCUUAACAAGAUGUUAUGAUUAUGAUCCUAAAAUGGUUAUUGGCGAUAACACUGGAAAAUGCACUGGUUUAGGUUGUUGCCAAGUGGAUAUUCCUCCACUUAUGAGAAAUAUCACUAUACAAUCAUCUCAA